rfam:Burkholderia telluris isolate LMG 22936 genome assembly, contig: contig000003
AAAGCAGGCCAGGCAGUCGCGGCUUUUCCGGUUUCGGCCGGGAAGGGCGAGGAAAGUCCGGACUCCACAGGGCAGGGUGAUGGCUAACGGCCAUCCGUGGCGACACGCGGAACAGGGCAACAGAAAGCAAACCGCCGAUGGCCCGAUGCAAAUCGGGAUCAGGUAAGGGUGAAACGGUGCGGUAAGAGCGCACCGCGGCUGUCGCGAGACAGACCGGCACGGUAACCUCCACCCGGAGCAAUUCCAAGUAGGCAGGCGCGCAUCUUCGGGAUGCAGGACGGGGCCCCCGUUUCGUCUGCGGGUAGGAAGCUUGAACGCGUCAGCAAUGGCGCGUCUAGAGGAAUGACUGCCACGCGCAGCGCGUCUUCGGAUGCGCUGCAUGCACAGAAUCCGGCUUAUCGGCCUGCUUUGCCU